GACGAACGCUGGCGGCGUGCCUAACACAUGCAAGUCGAACGGAAAGGCCCUGCUUUUGCGGGUUGCUCGAGAGGCGAACGGGUGAGUAUCACGUGUGUAACCCGCCCUUGACUUUGGGAUAACUCCAGGAAACUGGGGCUAAUACCCGAGAGGAGCUUCUGCUGCACGGUGGGGGUUGGAAAGUUUCGGCGGUGGGGUCUGGUCUCGCGGCUUAUCCGCUUGUUGGUGGGGUAGUGAAUUACCAAGGGUUUGACGGGUAGCCGACCUGGGAGGGUGACCGGCCACCUUGGUACUGAGAUACGGACCAGAAUGCUACGGGAGGCAGUAGUGGGGAGUAUUGCACAGUGGGCGGAAGCCUGAGACAGCGGCGCCGCGUGCGGAAUGACGUCCUACUGGUUGUGAACCGCUUUCGACUGUGCCGAAGCGAGCGUGACGGUAAUGGGUCAAGAAGCACCGGCUAACUACGUG
rnacentral:rRNA from 1 species